UUAUUGGGCCUAAAGCGUCCGUAGCUGGCCGCACAAGUCCGUCGGGAAAUCCGCCCGCUCAACGGGCGGCCGUCCGGCGGAACCUGUGUGGCUUGGGACCGGGAGGCCUGAGGGGUACGAUCGGGGUAGGAGUGAAAUCCUGUAAUCCCGCUCGGACCGCCGAUGGGGAAACCACCUCAGGAGAACGGAUCCGACAGUGAGGGACGAAAGCCAGGCUCUCGAACC
rnacentral:rRNA from 1 species